CACGUAGGGGGCGAGCGUUGUCCGGAAUCAUUGGGCGUAAAGAGCUCGUAGGCGGUUUGUCACGUCUGCUGUGAAAACUGGAGGCUCAACCUCCAGCCUGCAGUGGGUACGGGCAGACUAGAGUGCGGUAGGGGAGAUUGGAAUUCCUGGUGUAGCGGUGGAAUGCGCAGAUAUCAGGAGGAACACCGGUGGCGAAGGCGGGUCUCUGGGCCGAUACUGACGCUGAGGAGCGAAAGCGUGGGGAGCGAACAGG
rnacentral:rRNA from 1 species